rnacentral:rRNA from 1 species
GAUGAACGCUGGCGGCGUGCCUAAUACAUGCAAGUCGAGCGAACAGAUGAGGAGCUUGCUCCUCUGACGUUAGCGGCGGACGGGUGAGUAACACGUGGAUAACCUACCUAUAAGACUGGGAUAACUUCGGGAAACCGGAGCUAAUACCGGAUAAUAUAUUGAACCGCAUGGUUCAAUAGUGAAAGACGGUUUUGCUGUCACUUAUAGAUGGAUCCGCGCCGCAUUAGCUAGUUGGUAAGGUAACGGCUUACCAAGGCAACGAUGCGUAGCCGACCGGAGAGGGUGAUCGGCCACACUGGAACUGAGACACGGUCCAGACUCCUACGGGAGGCAGCAGUAGGGAAUCUUCCGCAAUGGGCGAAAGCCUGACGGAGCAACGCCGCGUGAGUGAUGAAGGUCUUCGGAGCGUAAAACUCUGUUAUUAGGGAAGAACAAAUGUGUAAGUAACUGUGCACGUCUUGACGGUACCUAAUCAGAAAGCCACGGCUAACUACGUG